rnacentral:rRNA from 1 species
GACGAACGCUGGCGGCGUGCCUAACACAUGCAAGUCGAGCGGAGUAUUUCUGCUGCCUGCUGCGGUCAGACUCAGCGGCGAAAGGGUGACCAAGAAGUCAACAACCUGCUUCAUAGUCACGGCCAACAAUUGGCACUGAUAGCUCAUACCGGCUAAUAGCAUUAAUUGGAUGGCUGCUGAUUUAACGCUGGCUUUGCUAACUAUAUGAGAUGGCUUUGCGGUGCAUUAGCUAGUUGGUGGGGUAAAGGCCUACCAAGGCGACGAUGCGUAACAGGUCUGAGAGGAUGAUCAGCCACACUGGAACUGAGACACGGCCCAGACUCCUACGGGAGGCAGCAGUGGGGAAUCUUCGGCAAUGGGCGAAAGCCUGACGCAGCAACGCCGCGUGAGUGAAGAAGGAUUUCGGUUCGUAAAGCACUGUUGUUAGGGAAGAAUGGUAGUAAGUUAACUAUACGCAGUAGAGACGGUACCUAACGAAAAAGCAACGGCUAACUACGUG